rnacentral:rRNA from 1 species
UACAGAGGUCUCAAGCGUUGUUCGGAUUCAUUGGGCGUAAAGGGUGCGUAGGUGGCGAGGUUAGUCAGGUGUGAAAUCUCGGGGCUCAACCCCGAAACUGCACUUGAUACUGCCUUGCUCGAGUACUGGAGAGGAGAUUGGAAUUUACGGUGUGGCAGUGAAAUGCGUAGAUAUCGUAAGGAAGACCAGUGGCGAAGGCGAAUCUCUGGACAGUUACUGACACUGAGGCACGAAGGCCAGGGGAGCAAACGGG